GACAGCCGGCCAAUAUGAGGGACUACUUCAACAAGUGUAUCACUGCUGCGUUAGGAGUAGGGAAUCUUAGCUUCAAACCUGGUGUUUUAAGAAUCGCGGCUGAUGAGUAUCUACCAUAUGUUCAAGUACAGGAGAGAGACGGACUUGUUGAACUAUGUGGACCAAUGGCUAACCUUUUGGAGAUACUCUCGACAUCCUUGCCUUUCGAGUAUACAGUCUUAAUUCCUUCCGAUCACAAGUGGGGGAGAAAUCUGCAAAAUGGCAGCUGGAACGGAAUGAUAG